rnacentral:rRNA from 1 species
UUGGAGGGCAAGUCUGGUGCCAGCAGCCGCGGUAAUUUCAGCUCCAAUAGCGUAUAUUAAAGUUGUUGCAGUUAAAAAGCUCGUAGUUGAAUUUCGGGGUCAGUAGGUUGGUCAUGCCACUGGUAUGAACUGGUCUCACUGAUUCCUCCUUCCUGAUGAGCCGUAAUGCCAUUAAUUUGGUGUUGCGGGGAAUUUGGACUGUUACUUUGAAAAAAUUAGAGUGUUUAAAGCAAGCUAACGCUUGAAUACAUUAGCAUGGAAUAAUGAAAUAGGACGUUCGAUCCUAUUUUGUUGGUUUCUAGGAUUGACGUAAUGAUUAAUAGGGAUAGUUGGGGGCAUUAGUAUCCAAUUGUCAGAGGUGAAAUUCUUGGAUUUAUUGAAGACUAACUACCGCGAAAGCAUUUGCCAAGGAUGUUUUCAUUAAUCAAGAACGAAAGUUAGGGGAUCGAAGACGAUCAGAUACCGUCGUAGUCUUAACCAUAAACUAUGCCGACUAGGGAUCGGAUGAUGUUAAUUUUUUAAUGACUCAUUCGGCGCCUUACGGGAAACCAAAGUGUUUGGGUUC